CCUACGGGGAGCUGCAGUGGGGAAUAUUGGACAAUGGGCGAAAGCCUGAUCCAGCCAUGCCGCGUGUGUGAAGAAGGCCUUCGGGUUGUAAAGCACUUUCAGUGGGGAAGAAAGCCUUGGGGCUAAUACCCUCGAGGAAGGACAUCACCCACAGAAGAAGCACCGGCUAACUCCAUGCCAGCAGCCGCGGUAAUACGGAGGGUGCGAGCGUUAAUCGGAAUUACUGGGCGUAAAGCGCGCGUAGGCGGUCUGAUAAGCCGGUUGUGAAAGCCCCGGGCUCAACCUGGGAACGGCAUCCGGAACUGUCAGGCUAGAGUGCAGGAGAGGAAGGUAGAAUUCCCGGUGUAGCGGUGAAAUGCGUAGAGAUCGGGAGGAAUACCAGUGGCGAAGGCGGCCUUCUGGACUGACACUGACGCUGAGGUGCGAAAGCGUGGGUAGCAAACAGGAUUAGAUACCCCAGUAGUC
rnacentral:rRNA from 1 species